rnacentral:rRNA from 1 species
GACGGGGGGAGCAAGCGUUGUUCGGAUUUACUGGGCGUAAAGGGCGUCUAGGCGGGCUUUCAAGUCGAGUGUGAAACCCCACGGCUCAACCGUGGAUCUGCACUCGAUACUGGGGGUCUUGAGUACGGAAGAGGAAAGCGGAAUUCCAGGUGUAGCGGUGAAAUGCGUAGAUAUCUGGAAGAACACCGGUGGCGAAGGCGGCUUUCUGGUCCGAUACUGACGCUGAAGCGCGAAAGUGUGGGGAGCAAACAGG